rnacentral:rRNA from 2 species
ACGGGAGGCAGCAGUGGGGGAUAUUGCACAAUGGAGGAAACUCUGAUGCAGCAACGCCGCGUGAAGGAAGAAGGCCUUCGGGUUGUAAACUUCUGUCCUUGGUGACGAUAAUGACGGUAGCCAAGGAGGAAGCCACGGCUAACUACGUGCCAGCAGCCGCGGUAAUACGUAGGUGGCAAGCGUUGUCCGGAAUUACUGGGUGUAAAGGGUGCGUAGGCGGCUCAUAAAGUCAGAUGUGAAAUACCGAGGCUCAACCUCGGAGCUGCAUUUGAAACUUAUGGGCUUGAGUGAAGUAGAGGUAAGCGGAAUUCCUAGUGUAGCGGUGAAAUGCGUAGAUAUUAGGAGGAACACCAGUGGCGAAGGCGGCUUACUGGGCUUUAACUGACGCUGAGGCACGAAAGCAUGGGUAGCAAACAGGAUUAGAUACCCUGGUA